AAGUCGUAUCAAGGUUUCCGUAGGUGAACCUGCGGAAGGAUCAUUACAGUAUUCUAUUGCCAGCGCUUAACUGCGCGGCGAUAAACCUUUCACACUUUGUUUUUGUUAUUAAAGACACCAUUGCUUUGGUGGAUGAGUGUAAAAGCUUUUUCCACCAGAGGUUAACUAAACUCAAACUUAUUUAAAUUUUUAAUUUACUUAAUUGUCAUCGAACAUUUGUCUGAUUAACUUCAGAACAAACAAAUAUUCAAAACUUUCAACAACGGAUCUCUUGGUUCUC
rnacentral:misc_RNA from 1 species